CUCUUCAAUAUUGAAAUAUACUUGGAAAAGAAUGGAAAGCAGAAAGAAUUCAAUUCAACAUAUAACAUGGGUACUUUGUAUUUAAAAUUGAAUACUACAGAGAAAAGAAAGUAAUCAUGGUUUUAAAAUAAGUAACUUUUAAAGAAACGUAAUUUUAAUCUUUAAACAUAAUUAAAUGCCUUUCUUUCUUCACAUAUGGCUAAAUACUGUUAUAAGAAAAUUUUAGAAAAGACAGUCUUAAAAACAUUAUAUUGUAAUUUGUUUAAGGCAGUAAAUUUCAUAAAAUAAAAUAAUUACAACGGUGGAAAACCACUAAAUUUAGUGGCUCUUCAUCCACUAAAAUUAAUUGACCAUAAAUUAGUUAGCAGUCGGGCUUUGAAGUGGGAUGGAACUAAGGUGCAGGUCUACAUUAUUUUAAUGAACAAUGAUGUGUGAAACGAAUCAUAGCCUUGUCAACAAGAUAAUGGUGAAUUAUAGCCUACUCGUGGAGGCUAUAUGACAAGCACAUGGAGUAGUUUGUAAAAGAUGCCGAUUGAGGUUUGUAUUUGAAACCGGAAAAACUAAAGGAAGCUCAUAGCUUUCAGGACAUGCCCAUGCAAUAAAUACACUACACACCGCAUCCCUGUUCUGAAGAUUUUGGAUUAAGUAGAACAUUUGAUUGGUUUUCUAUUGCUGCUGUAACAAAUUUACCACAAAUUCAGCAACUUAAGUCAAUGCAAGUUUAUUUCCUUACAGUUCUGUAGGUCAGAAGUUUGACAUAGGUCUCAUCAGACUAAAAUCAAGGUGUAGGUAAGGCCGCAUCCCUUUCUGGGGUCUCUAGGGGAAAAUUCAUUUCUCUUUAUGUGGGUUGUUGACAAAAUUGAGUUUCUUGCGGUCGCAGGUCUGAGAUCAGUUUGUCCUUGCUGACUCUCAGCUGAGGACUGUUUCUGGCUUCUAGAGGCUCCUUGUGUCCCUUGAUUCAUGGCUACUUUCCUUCAUCUUCAAAGCCAGUAACAAUUCGUUAAGACCCUCUCAUCCUUCAAAUCUCUUCUUCUCUUUCUCCUUCUCCUUCCCUUCUCAGUCUCCUUUCUUCUCUUCCUCCUUCUUGUAUCAUCUCUCUGACCUGACCAGGACAGAUUCUCUGCUUUAGGGUCUCAUGUACAGGUGUAUCUGGUUUUAUUGCUCUUUGCUUUAUUGAACUUCACAGAUACUGUAUUUUUUUUAAGAUUGAAAGUUUGUGGCAACUCUGCAUGGAACAAGUCUAUCAGUGCUAUUUCUCCAACAGCAUGGGCUCACUUUGUGUCUCUGUGUCAGACGAUUGUUAGCAUAUUUUAGAAAUAAAAUAUUUUUAAGUUCAGGUAUGCACAUUUUUGAAACAUAAUACUAUUGCACGCUUAAUAGGCUUCAGUAUAGUGUAAACGUACAUUUUAUGCACUGGAAAACCAAAAUGUAUGUGUUACUUACUUUGUUCAUUUUAUUACAGUGGUCUGGAACCCAACCCCCAAUACUUCCGAGGUAUCCAAUACUUCCAAGGUAUGCCUUGAAUUAGAUUGAGCCAACCAGAAUAAUCUUCCCAGUUCUACAGGCUAGACAUGCAAGAUCAAAGUGUCAGCGAGUUUGAUUUGUUCUGAGGACUCUCCCCUUGGUUUCCAGAUGAUUGCAUUACUGCUGUGUCCUUACAUGAUGGAGUCUCACUCAUUGCCCAGGCUGGAAUGCAGUGGUGCCAUCCCAGCUCACUGCAACUUCCACCUCAUGGAUUCAAGCAAUUCUUCUGCCUCAGCCUCCCAAAUAGCUGGGAUUACAGGCACCUGCCACCACACCUGGCAAAUUUUGGUGUUUUAAGUAGAGACAGAGUUUCACCAUCUUGGCCAGGCUGAUCUGGAACUCCUGGACUCAAGUGAUCCACCCGCCUCAGCCUCCUGAAGUGCUGGUUUUACAGACAAGGUCUUGCUCGAUAACCUAGGUUGGAGUGCACUGGCCUGAGCACAGCUUUCCACAGCCUCAACCUCCUGGGCUCAAGAGAUCCUUCCAUCUCAGCCUCCCGAGUAGCUAGGUCUACAGGUACGUACCAACACGCCCAGCUAAUUUAUUUUAUCUUUUAUGUAUUUAUGAAGAUGGGAUCUCACUAUGUUGCCCAGGCUGAUCUCAAACUCCUGGCCUCAAGCAACCCUCCUGGGUCAGCUUCCCAGAAUGUUAAGAUUACAGGCAUGAGCCUCUGCAUCUGGCCAAAAUGACUUCCUGUACUCAUAAUUUUUAAACAUUCUUACUGAGAGAUACUUC
rnacentral:lncRNA from 1 species